GAAAAGGCUGAGAACGAGACUAGUAGGUUUCAAAGCGGAGCUCAGAGAGCCGGGUAGGGUGUGAGCCGGUGCUAGCGCAGGAAUUGAAUGGACUCGGGAGCCGCAAACCGAAAGGAUUUUACCGAGUAGGCUUUGACGCAGGGACAGCGUUAUCAUAGUCCAGGGUAUCGCUCAGUAAAUGGAGCCGUACCUACAAAGAGAUGGUUGCUAGAGCAAACUAGCAACUGAAUUAGGGUGGCACCGCGAAGGAGAAUCCCUCGCCCCUGGC
rnacentral:ncRNA from 1 species